GAUGUAAUUAUCAGAUGGAGGAGAAUGUCAGGUUAUAACACCUUGUGGGUGCCAGGAAUGGACCAUGCAGGCAUUGCUACCCAGGUCGUCGUCGAGAAGAAGCUAAUGCGUGAAGAGAAAAAAACCAGACAUGAUAUUGGACGCACGAAAUUUGAGGAAAAAGUUUGGGCAUGGAAAAUGGAUUAUGGAGGUACUAUAUUGAACCAAGAACGUAGGCUGGGAGCUUCUCUCGAUUGGUCCCG
rnacentral:misc_RNA from 1 species